AUAUUGGGCAAUGGGCGCAAGCCUGACCCAGCAACGCCGCGUGAAGGAAGAAGGCUUUCGGGUUGUAAACUUCUUUUGUCAGGGACGAAGACGUGACGGUACCUGACGAAUAAGCCCCGGCUAACUACGUGCCAGCAGCCGCGGUAAUACGUAGGGAGCGAGCGUUAUCCGGAUUUACUGGGUGUAAAGGGCGUGUAGGCGGGCUGGCAAGUCAGAUGUGAAAACCAGGGGCUCAACCUCUGGCCUGCAUUUGAAACUGCUGGUCUUGAGUGCUGGAGAGGCAAUCGGAAUUCCGUGUGUAGCGGUGAAAUGCGUAGAUAUACGGAGGAACACCAGUGGCGAAGGCGGAUUGCUGGACAGUAACUGACGCUGAGGCGCGAAAGCGUGGGGAGCAAACA
rnacentral:rRNA from 1 species